rnacentral:rRNA from 1 species
UGGGGAAUAUUGGACAAUGGGCGCAAGCCUGAUCCAGCAAUGCCGCGUGUGUGAAGAAGGCCUUCGGGUUGUAAAGCACUUUUGUUCGGGAAGAAAUCCGUGUGGUUAAUACCCGUACGGGAUGACGGUACCGAAAGAAUAAGCACCGGCUAACUUCGUGCCAGCAGCCGCGGUAAUACGAAGGGUGCAAGCGUUAAUCGGAAUUACUGGGCGUAAAGCGUGCGUAGGCGGUUUGUUAAGUCAGAUGUGAAAGCCCCGGGCUCAACCUGGGAACUGCAUUUGAUACUGGCAGGCUAGAGUACGGUAGAGGGUGGUGGAAUUCCCGGUGUAGCGGUGAAAUGCGUAGAGAUCGGGAGGAACAUCCGUGGCGAAGGCGGCCACCUGGACCAGUACUGACGCUGAGGCACGAAAGCGUGGGGAGCAAACAGGA